AACGAACGCUGGCGGCAGGCUUAACACAUGCAAGUCGAACGCAUCCUUCGGGGUGAGUGGCAGACGGGUGAGUAACGCGUGGGAACGUGCCCUUCAGUUCGGGAUAACCCAGGGAGACUUGGGCUAAUACCGGAUACGUGCGAGAGCAGAAAGAUUUAUCGCUGAAGGAUCGGCCCGCGUCUGAUUAGCUAGUUGGUGGGGUAAUGGCCCACCAAGGCGACGAUCAGUAGCUGGUCUGAGAGGAUGAUCAGCCACAUUGGGACUGAGACACGGCCCAAACUCCUACGGGAGGCAGCAGUGGAGAAUAUUGGACAAGGGGCGCAAGCCUGAUCCAGCCAUGCCGCGUGAGUGAUGAAGGCCUUAGGGUUGUAAAGCUCUUUCGUCCGGGACGAUAAUGACGGUACCGGAAGAAGAAGCCUCGGCUAACUUCGUGCCAGCCGCCGCAGUAA
rnacentral:rRNA from 1 species